rnacentral:rRNA from 1 species
AUUGAACGCUGGCGGCAGGCCUAACACAUGCAAGUCGAGCGAGCGGCGGACGGGUGCGUACUGUCUGGGAAACUGCCUGAUGGAGGGGCAUAACUACUGGAAACGGUUUCUAAUACCGCAUUCCAUCCGCUGUUCCCAGAUGGGAAUAGCUGGUCGGUGGGGUAACGGCCUAACUAGGCGACGAUCCCUAGCUGGACUGAGAGGAUGACCAGCAACACUGGAACUGAGACACGGUCCAGACUCCUACGGGAGGCAGCAGUGGGGAAUAUUGCACAAUGGGCGCAAGCCUGAUGCAGCCAUGCCGCGUGUGUGAAGAAGGCCUUCGGGUUGUAAAGCACUUUCAGCGGGGAGGCGUUACCCGCAGAAGAAGCACCGGCUAACUCCGUGCCAGCAGCCGCGGUAAUUC